rnacentral:rRNA from 1 species
GACGAACGCUGGCGGCGUGCUUAACACAUGCAAGUCGAACGGUAAGGCCCUUCGGGGUACACGAGUGGCGAACGGGUGAGUAACACGUGGGUGAUCUGCCCUGCACUUCGGGAUAAGCCUGGGAAACUGGGUCUAAUACCGGAUAGGACCACUGCCUGCAUGGGUGGUGGUGGAAAGCUUUUGCGGUGUGGGAUGGGCCCGCGGCCUAUCAGCUUGUUGGUGGGGUGAUGGCCUACCAAGGCGACGACGGGUAGCCGGCCUGAGAGGGUGACCGGACACACUGGGACUGAGAUACGGCCCAGGCUCCUACGGGAGGCAGCAGUGGGGAAUAUUGCACAAUGGGCGCAAGCCUGAUGCAGCGACGCCGCGUGAGGGAUGACGGCCUUCGGGUUGUAAACCUCUUUCAGCACCGACGAAGCGCAAGUGACGGUAGGUGCAGAAGAAGGACCGGCCAACUACGUGCCAGCCGCCGCCGUAA